rnacentral:lncRNA from 1 species
AGAAUGGCUUGGGUUGCCAGGGGCCUUAAAGAUCAUCUAGCUCCAAUCCCCUACCAUGGACAGGGUUGCCAAUCACUAAAUCAGUCACCAGAUCUGGUUGCCCAGGGCCUCAUCCAACCAAGCGUGCUGGUUACUAGGUCACCAGCCAGGCCACAGUGCAACCUUGCUACACGCCGUGUGAAGUUCUGCAGGCUGUAAAGGGUAUUAACGUCCUCUGGUAGUGCUCUUUGCAGUCUUGAGCACCUAUGGGCCUUCUGAUGGGUGAAGAAUGAUCACUUCAGUGCUGAGCACUGAUCUUGUUGGAUAUCCAGUGAAACCAGGGCAGCAGAAAGCUGCCCCAGUCAGCCCCAUCCCAGACCCUCUAUCUUCAGAUGUUCGUGAUUGGGAAAAAGUGUGCUGUAACAAAAAAGAAGCCUGUCAGUAUAGCAGCUGCAGCAGCUGACUGACUGGUUCCUGUUUCUGUCCCUCCGACCUGCCAGCAGCUCAGCAGAUGCUCAAGGAUGUCACCCAGCUCAAACUGUUUCCUUUCCAUGUCUGGUAUUUGCCAACUCUCUUCUAAUGAGAUGUCCUCACUUGGAAUUUAUACAGGUGCACUUCAAGAGGAAGAACUUGAACUUCUGCACAUGUGGCUGUUCUGCACAGCUGAAUAUCUGUGUGACCUGGUAUAUCAACAGUCAACGUCCCCCGGAAAAGCUUUGCAGAUUUGGGUCGGCUCCCUGGUUGAAGGAUGUAAGGAAUGAAAAGAGACCAUGGAGAGAAGGAGGUGACAUAGAGAGAAUGACUGAGUGCCUGGAGUUUCCCUCUGAACACCAGACGAAAAUGUGGAGCAUCUGGUCAGGAAAACCACACUUCAGAAGAUUUAAAUAUAGUGUCUUGUUAUCUCAGUCUAUUUCCUUGACAGAACAUGAGGCUGAAUAUCUUUUUGUUGAAUUUCUUUCUCUCUUUUUUUUCAUAAAGAAGCUGAUAAAUCAGGAGGAUUACAGGGAAUGA